AAGUCAGAGAUACUGAAUCUGUUCAGAUUACAGAUCAUCUACAGUCUGUUGUUAAUUAAAAUCAGCAACAGAUAGCAUGUGGAGCAUUUUGAGAGCUACUUUGUCACAAUUAAAACAACUGGAGACUGUGUACAAGCU